rnacentral:misc_RNA from 1 species
GAUGAAGAACGUAGUGAAAUGCGAUAAGUAAUGUGAAUUGCAGAAUUCAGUGAAUCAUCGAAUCUUUGAACGCACAUUGCGCCCCCUGGUAUUCCGGGGGGCAUGCCUGUCCGAGCGUCAUUACAACCCUCAAGCUCAGCUUGGUGUUGGGCCCCGCCGCCCCGGCGGGCCCUAAAGUCAGUGGCGGUGCCGUCCGGCUCCGAGCGUAGUAAUUCUUCUCGCUCUGGAGGUCCGGUCGUGUGCUUGCCAGCAACCCCCAAUUUUUUUCAGGUUGACCUCGGAUCAGGUAGGGAUACCCGCUGAACUUAAGCAUAUCAAUAAGCGGAGGA